CGAACUCCCUGCGUACCGAGCAGUUGCCCGGGAGAAGACACUGCCUGAUCGAUUGAUGUCUUGAUGAUAUGGCUUGAACCGUGGCUUCAAAACUUGUUUUUACCUCCAUACUUAAACUGUCAUCUUUAGAUUUCUCCACGAUUUGAACGAGUAAAGCUAUUGGUGGGUUUUUGCACUUGCAAAUGCCGGACUUCAAUAAUAAUAAGGCAAUCCCUUUCAUGACUUCAAUGCUUAAUUUUUCAACGAGGGGAUUAUAAUGCAGUAAAAUGAUCAUCGCACUCUUUACUCUUAUCUACGCCCAUUGUCCUGGCGGUGAGGAGUGUCAACAAUGCGCUGGAAGUUGGUGGUUUUUCAAUGAGCAACACGACGACGAGACCGCCGGACUGGAGCAUGGUGGAAAACGAUGGACCUCAGCCAGAAGUCUCAGCAAUAGUCAUACACAUGGAUAUAUAUAAAUAUAUAUAUAUAAAUGUAUAUAUAUAUAUAUAUAUAUAUAUAUAUAUACGUGUGUGUGUGUGUGUAUACUUCAGGGAUGUUACUCUUGUUGCUGAGUCAACUUUGCAGUCAACAGAAAGUUCAAGAGACGUGUGGUUGAUAUUACCCCAUCGGGCAAUGGUAGUAAAUGGAUAGCUUCCUGUGAACGUGCUAUUCGACUGAUUUGCAUAAUAGGCUUAUGCUUCCCUCUAUUGGUCGGACUUAUUGUCACGUGACAAAUCUAUUCUGCUCGACCUUUGUUAUUACGAUCAGCCAGUCAAUAUAACUAUUAUAUACCGUCGGAGCGUCGCUCUGUGUAUGAGUACACGUGGUUUCGGCGCGGUAACUGUUCUGAAUUUGAAAUACUUGUGUUCUAGGUUAAAUAGUGAGAUGUUUCUUGACACUAUCGUGUUCGCUUCGGCAACACAUCUAUUAAAAUUGGAACGAUACAGAGAAGAUUAGCAUGGCCCCUGCGCAAAAGCUACCGACUAAUCUUCUCUGUCCCCGCGUCCCAUAGGCCCCCACGCCGGCGCUGUUUUGAUGAUUUUUGGGCAGAUCGUCUGCCAUAGAAGGGGGGCGGAGCUAUCGCUGGCGUGGGAAAUGGAGCCUUGUUUGAAAACAAAUCGGUCGGGUUCGGGCGUAUGGAACGCCGGAGAGGGGGAAAAAGAAAGUAAAUAAUGAAAUUUUAGGCACGAUUUUUAUUGUAAUGUAAUGACGGUUGAUUUUGUAAUAAAUGCAUUAUGUUUGAAAUGAAA